GGAGCCCCGGCGCUAAUGCUGGCCUCAGGCUGCACCCUGCGGGCUCCGGCCGCUGGUCCCUGAGCAGAGCGGCGGGGCUGGCCCGGCUGCGAAAUAUUCCCGGCCCCAGCGGUCCCGACACCAGGAACCGCCUCGUUUGGCUGCUGAGAGGUGUAACAAGAAUAUCAUGAACUGAUGACCGCGUGGGCGAGACUCUGUGUUGGGAAGACCAGAUGGAGAACUGCUUCCACUUUGAGAGGAGUAGGAAGGCAUCCGUGAGCAAUCCCAGGCUGAGACCUCCCAGGGAGCAGAACUGGUGACACUUCCUGUUGUGCCUGGUUGCAAACAGGUCUACCCAGGGAGUCCCCAACUGCUGGAAAAUGUCUCUUGCGAUGUUCAGGCGAAGGAACCACUUAUAUGACUGGAGAAAGAUCUGCUGAGGUGAUCUGCCCACUCGUUCUGCACUCGUGAAAGGUGAGAAGCCUCGAGGUGGACUGAGUGAGCUAUGCAGCACUCACAUAGCUGAACUGCUUCUCGACGGGGGAGACAGCAAGAUCCUCCCUGCCUGUUGAGAUAGAACAUGGCUCCAGUGUUGCCCGUAAGAACCAACAAGCUCUUGCCCAUAAUGCGAGGCAGGAAUGUCUGACCAGCCAGGUGAACUGCCCUGAGCUCUCUGACUUUUUAGUGAGAGCUCUUUCAGGUAUCAAAGGCCUUCAGUUCUGAGGAGACCCAGGUGAGCUCCCCUAGCACUGAUGUGUCUGAGAUCGAGGAUAUCGAUGAUUGGGGCACUGAAAAGGGAAUGCCCACACAAACCGCCAGCAGGUCCAGCCACCAGUUGAGGGAGGUAAGGACUGGGGAAGGUACCGUGAGAUCAAGAGUCCAGUUGGUGGCGGUCUGGCGAGUACACUGAGGCAGUCGUGUCUGAAGCGGUCUGUGGUGCAGUCUUCUGUGCUGCACUACAUAUGUACAUAAAUCCAUGUGGCCCAAAAGCAUCAGACAGUCCCGGGCUGUUGUAAUUGGGUGGACCUUGAGGUAUACUAUCAGGGACAUGACUGUCUGAAACCGACUUUCUGGGAGGAAAGUCUGGCCUGGGUACAAUCGAGCACCACUCCAAUAAACUCUAUCCUCUGUACUGGAGUGGGGGUAGACUUCUGUACAUUUAUUAGCAAGCUCAGGGCUUGGAAUGUUGACUGGAUGAGGAGGAUGCUGGACUUUACCUGAGCUCUAUACCGGCUUCUGACUAGUCAGUCAUCCAGGUAUGGGUAGACUUGCACCCGUCACCUCCUCAAGAAGGGCACCAUUACCCCUAUGCAUUUGUAAACACCUGUGGAGCUACUGACAGGCUGAAUGGGAGAACCGCAAAUUGGUAGUGUGUGUGGUUCAUGACGAAUGCUAAGAAACUUCUGUGGCCUUGGAAGAUUAAUAUGUGGAAGUAAGUGUCUCUUAAAUCGAGGGCAGCAUACCAAUCCUCGGGAUCCAGGGAGGGAAUAAUAGAAGCCAGGGAGACUAUGAGGUGCUUUAAUUUCUUGAGAUAGCUGUUAAACUGGCGCAGGUCUAGAAUAGGUCUGGAACUGCCCAUAGUUUUUGGGUUUAGGAAAUAAUAGGAGUAAAACCUCUUCUCCAUUAGAUUUUGUGGACCCUCUUUCAUAGCUCCCACCUGAAGAAGAGAUUGAACCUCCUCAGCCAGAAGUUGCUCUUGAGAUGGGUCCCUGAAGAGGGAUAGGGAGGGAGGGUGUGAAGGAGGAGUAGAAAUAAAUUGGAGAAUAUAUCCCACUUCCACCACAUUAAGUACCCAGUGGUCUGUUGUGAUACGAGAGAGUAAGUACAAAUGAAGUGGGAUAGGCAGUCUGCAAAUAAAGGGAAAACAGGAUCCAGAAACAUGGAACCUGGUACAACAUCCUGGA